rnacentral:rRNA from 1 species
GAUGAACGCUGGCGGCGUGCCUAAUACAUGCAAGUCGAGCGAACAGACGAGGAGCUUGCUCCUCUGACGUUAGCGGCGGACGGGUGAGUAACACGUGGAUAACCUACCUAUAAGACUGGGAUAACUUCGGGAAACCGGAGCUAAUACCGGAUAAUAUAUUGAACCGCAUGGUUCAAUAGUGAAAGACGGUUUUGCUGUCACUUAUAGAUGGAUCCGCGCCGCAUUAGCUAGUUGGUAUGGUAACGGCUUACCAAGGCAACGAUGCGUAGCCGACCUGAGAGGGUGAUCGGCCACACUGGAACUGAGACACGGUCCAGACUCCUACGGGAGGCAGCAGUAGGGAAUCUUCCGCAAUGGGCGAAAGCCUGACGGAGCAACGCCGCGUGAGUGAUGAAGGUCUUCGGAUCGUAAAACUCUGUUAUUAGGGAAGAACAAAUGUGUAAGUAACUAUGCACGUCUUGACGGUACCUAAUCAGAAAGCCACGGCUAACUACGUA